rnacentral:rRNA from 1 species
CACGUAGUUAGCCGGGGCUUCUUACUCAGGUACCGUCAUUUAUUCUUCCCUGCUGAUAGGGCUUUACAUAACGAAUUACUUCUUCACUCACGCGGCGUCGCUGCAUCAGGGUUCCCCCCAUUGUGCAAUAUCCCCCACUGCUGCCUCCCGUAGGAGUCUGGGUCGUGUCUCAGUCCCAAUGUGGCCGUCCGCCCUCUCAGGCCGGCUACUGAUCGUCGCUUUGGUAGGCCGUUACCCUGCCAACUGGCUAAUCAGACGCGGGCCCAUCGUAUACCGUCUCGGCUUUUCACACUCCCAGUAUGCACUGCUGUGCGCUUAUGCGGUAUUAGCACCUAUUUCUAAGUGUUAUCCCCCUGUAUACGGUAGGUUGCCCAGCGUUACUCACCCGUCGCCACUAAGAUACAUUUUCUUCAGACGAAUCCUCAUUCCAAUAUAAUCCCCUUCGACUUGCAUGUGUAGGCACGCCGCCAGCGUUCAGUCCUGAGUCCGAGAGUCAAACUUA